GAUGAAGAACGCAGCGAAAUGCGAUAAGUAAUGUGAAUUGCAGAAUUCCGUGAAUCAUCGAAUCUUUGAACGCACAUUGCGCCCCCUGGCAUUCCGGGGGGCAUGCCUGUCCGAGCGUCAUUUCUGCCCUCAAGCACGGCUUGUGUGUUGGGUGUGGUCCCCCCGGGGACCUGCCCGAAAGGCAGCGGCGACGUCCGUCUGGUCCUCGAGCGUAUGGGGCUCUGUAACUCGCUCGGGAAGGACCUGCGGGGGUUGGUCACCACCAUGUUUUACCACGGUUGACCUCGGAUCAGGUAGGAGUUACCCGCUGAACUUAAGCAUAUCAAUAAGCGGAGGA
rnacentral:misc_RNA from 1 species